CUGGGAGUGAAGCAUGCGCAGGGUGGGUAAUGGCGAUGAAGAGACGUUUCUUUCUCCGAUCCGAAAUCGGGGAUUAGAAGGGGAGGAUUUGCAGUCGGGAAACUGAAACCAAACCUCGCAUCAGGACCUGAUGGAGUCGCCAAUUUAUCGUAACCUGAAUAUCAUCGGAUUUUGAAUGUGGAAGGAAAAAGCACCAUUCACAGUGGGGAGAAACCGUACACUUGUCCUGUGUUUGAAUGAGGUUUCAGCCGGUCAUCUGAUUUGUCAAAACAUAAAUGUGAUCACAACGGGGAUAAACCACGGCUGUGGGAAGGGAUUUAGAUCCCCCUCUGGAAACCCAUCGGUGCAGUCAGAUUGGGGAGAGUCCGUUCACCUGCUCCAUCUGUGGGAAGUGAUUCACUUAGUUAUCCCACCUGCUGAGACCACCAGCGAGUUCACACUGGGGAGGCCCCUUUUAAAUAUCUAGACUGUGCGAAGUGCUGUAAAAGUUUUGGGGAUGUGAUGUCCAAUCAACGUGUUCACACUGACGAGAGACCGUUUAGGUGCUCUCACUGUGGGACUGGGUUCAGGCAAUCAUCUGACCUCAAUGUACACCACCGAAUUCACACUGGGGAGAGGCCGUUCACCUGCUCCCAGUGUGGAAAGAGAUUCACUCAGUUAACCAACCUGCGGACACACAAGCGAGUUCACAGUGGGGAGAGGCCGUUCACUUGUUCCGAUUGUGGGAAGGGAUUCACUCAAUCAUCCAACCUGCUGACACACCAGCGAAUUCACACUGAGGAGAGGCCGUUCUGCUGUACUUCCUGUGGAAAGAGAUUCAGGUCUUCAUUCCACCUCAAUGUACACCAGCGAGUUCACACAGGAGAGAGACCGUUCACCUGCUCUGAGUGUGGGAAGAAAUUCACUCAGUUAUCCCACCUGCUGAAUCACGAGCGAGUUCACACUGGGGAGAGGCCGUUCACCUGCCCCGAAUGUGGGAAGGGAUUCACUCGGUCAUCCCACCUGCUCAGGCACCAGCUGGUCCACAAGUGACACAAGGGGUUGGAUUCUACUGUGAUUGCAGCUGUUAAUCACAUCCAAGACUGAAGCAUGUUUAUCCUGAUAGUUGGUGUUUUUUUUCUGCUGGACUGGAGUCCUGAUCCAUAGUUGAUUGUGUUCUUGGGGCUGCAGUGUCCAUUUAAGAACCACUGUCUCUGAUCUUUCCCCAUAAAUCAGGAACUUUCAUCAGAAGUUUGUUUACAAGAUUCUGAACUUUUACUUCAAUCCCAAACUGAUCUUUGGUACGAACUGCACAAUUCAGUGUCUGAGAGGUUCUGAUCGAGUGGAUACAAAGAGAAUGUUUCCUCUUGUGGGGAAGAGCAUAACUAGAGACCAUCGAUGUAAGAUAGUCACCAAGAACUCCCAUAGGGAAUUCAAAAGAAACUUCUUCACCCAAAGAGCGGUGAGAAAGUGGAACUCGCUACCACUGGGAGUGGUUAAAGUGAAUCAUAUAGCUUUUGUUUCAUUGAAAGGGGUGCAAUGCACGGAUGUGUUUCUUUUUUGCAAAGGUCAGGGCCCUGUGUGUGAAUAUAUGUAGCUUCUAGCACGUGUAAGUGAGCCACACUGUGAGCCCAACUGAUCAUCUUAAAUUGGUUGUUCCUGUAUUUCUUAGCACAAUCAAGAUUGUUUAGUAAGUGUUGUCCAAUUGUGGAAUCACAUUUAAUAUUAUUUAAGGGGAAGUUAGAGAAGCACAAGAGGGCAAAGGGAAUAGAUGGUUACGAUGAUAAAUUUAGUUGGGGAAUGAUGGGAGGAGGCCCUUGUGGAGCUUAAACCCCAGCAUGGAUUGGCUGAGCCGAAUGGCCUGUCAUAUAUCUGAUGUAAUUACACUCCUGAAAGGUCUGGUUCUAACUUUUUGACUGUACCACCCAUACCUAGACUGCAUAACUAGUGGAAAUAAUUUCUAGUUACUCACUGUUCCCCUUAAUGUGCUCAAUUCGGCUUUUGCUGUCACUGUCAAUCACAUCCAGAACUGAACCAUGUUCAUUCUGAUAGUUGGGGUUUAUUUCUACUGAUGUUAAUAAUCUCUGUAACUGAGCUGGAGUUUAAUAUCUUGAUGUCUAUUAAAUAAAAGAGUUUUGUUUCAAACA